rnacentral:rRNA from 1 species
UACGUAGGGGGCAAGCGUUGUCCGGAUUUAUUGGGCGUAAAGAGCGUGUAGGCGGUUAGGUAGGUCCGUUGUGAAAACUCGAGGCUCAACCUCGAGACGCCGAUGGAAACCAUCUAACUAGAGUCCGGAAGAGGAGAGUGGAAUUCCUGGUGUAGCGGUGAAAUGCGCAGAUAUCGGGAGGAACACCAGUGGCGAAGGCGGUUGCCUGGAGCUUUGCUGACGCUGAGGCGCGAAAGCGUGGGGAGCGAGCCGG